AUUGAACGCUGGCGGCAGGCCUAACACAUGCAAGUCGAGCGAGCGGCGGACGGGCGAGUAAUGUAUGGAGACUGCCCGAUCGAGGGGGAUAACUACUGGAAAAGUUGGCUAAUCCCGCAUACUAUCGGAUAACCCAUAUGGGAUUAGCUAGUAGGUGGGGUAAAGGCGCACCUAGGCGACGCUGUCUAGCUGGUCUGAGAGGAUGAUCAGCCACACUGGGACUGAGACACGGCCCAGACUCCUACGGAGGCAGCAGUGGGGAAUAUUGGACAAUGGGCGAAAGCCUGAUGCAGCCAUGCCGCGUGUAUGAAGAAGGCCUUAGGGUUGUAAAGUACUUUCAGCGGGGAGGCGUUACCCGCAGAAGAAGCACCGGCUAACUCCGUGCCAGCAGCCGCGGUAAUUC
rnacentral:rRNA from 1 species